CAUGUCUAAGUAUAAGCAAUUAUACGGCGAAACUGCGAAUGGCUCAUUAUAUAAGUUAUCGUUUAUUUGAUAAUACUUUACUACUUGGAUAACCGUGGUAAUUCUAGAGCUAAUACAUGCUAAAAAUCCCGACUUCGGAAGGGUUGUAUUUAUUAGAUUAAAAACCAAUGCCCUCUGGGCUCUCUGGUGAAUCAUAAUAACUUGUCGAAUCGCAAGGCCUUGUGCCGGCGAUGGCUCAUUCAAAUUUCUUCCCUAUCAACUUUCGAUGUUUGGGUAUUGGCCAAACAUGGUGGCAACGGGUAACGGAGGGUUAGGGCUCGACCCCGGAGAAGGAGCCUGAGAAACGGCUACUACAUCCAAGGAAGGCAGCAGGCGCGCAAAUUACCCAAUCCCGACACGGGGAGGUAGUGACAAUAAAUACUGAUACAGGGCUCUUAUGGGUCUUGUAAUCGGAAUGAGUACAAUUUAAAUCCCUUAACGAGGAACAAUUGGAGGGCAAGUCUGGUGCCAGCAGCCGCGGUAAUUCCAGCUCCAAUAGCGUAUAUUAAAGUUGUUGUGGUUAAAAAGCUCGUAGUUGAACCUUGGGCCUGGCUGGCCGGUCCGCCUCACCGCGUGCACUGGUCCGGCCGGGCCUUUCCCUCUGUGGAACCUCAUGCCCUUCACUGGGUGUGACGGGGAAACAGGACUUUUACUUUGAAAAAAUUAGAGUGCUCCAGGCAGGCCUAUGCUCGAAUACAUUAGCAUGGAAUAAUAAAAUAGGACGUGUGGUUCUAUUUUGUUGGUUUCUAGGACCGCCGUAAUGAUUAAUAGGGACAGUCGGGGGCAUCAGUAUUCAAUUGUCAGAGGUGAAAUUCUUGGAUUUAUUGAAGACUAACUACUGCGAAAGCAUUUGCCAAGGAUGUUUUCAUUAAUCAGGAACGAAAGUUAGGGGAUCGAAGACGAUCAGAUACCGUCGUAGUCUUAACCAUAAACUAUGCCGACUAGGGAUCGGACGAUGUUAUAUUCUUGACGCGUUCGGCACCUUACGAGAAAUCAAAGUGCUUGGGCUCCAGGGGGAGUAUGGUCGCAAGGCUGAAACUUAAAGAAA
rnacentral:rRNA from 3 species